ACAAAUAAGCCAUAAUAUUACGGUUUUUCAAUUCUAUAAAUAAUUCAGAUUAAGUUUGUGGGGUAUGUCGCUAGUUUCCCAAAUAAUGAAGUCUUUAUUAUAAAAAGGCAAGACUAGGAAUACAUAUCAUACAUUUGUAUGUUGUAUGCUAACAAGUAAAGCAAGUAUUCUUCGAUAAAGUGUGAACUCAGAAAAUCUUCAAUAUAAAGUGAAAAAAUGUGCAACACUAACUCGAACAAUUCAGGUGGUGCAGGUGGUCAGGGAGGCCAAGCUGAAGGUGCUGGGGGCGGUGGGGGAGGAAGUGGAGCCGGAAGUAGUGCUUCAGGUGGGACGGGAGGUAAUGGUGCCAGUAUUUGUGGAGGUGGACGAAAGAUAAUUACUCCGCAAGCAAUUUUCCUGUGGCGCUGAUAAUUCUUUAUAUGAAACUGCUCUGUGAACUUUCUUAAUAUUGUGAGAACAAAAUAACUUAAAUAUUACAAUCACAAGACAAUUUCUUACAUGUUUAAAACUUACAAUUGCAUUAUAUAAAAGUUUCCUCCUAAAUAAAACGUACCAAAUAUUAAAUUAAGUUUAUAUGUUAUUUACUGUAUAAUACAUGUAUAUGACAAAAUAUAAUUAAAUUUUCUUAAUAAAACAAAAACCUAACAAUG